rnacentral:tRNA from 1 species
GAAAGAAAGGGAUUCGACCCC